rnacentral:lncRNA from 10 species
CCAGUCCUGGACUUUUCUUUCUGGGAGACUUUUUAUUAUCACUUCAAACUUGCUACUAGUUAUUGUUUUGUUCCAGUUUUCUAUUCCUUCCUGACUCAAUCUUGCUCAAACCAAAAGGCUUGGUGUCAUCCUAUUCCUCUCUUUCAUUCUCACUACAACCAAUUCAUCAGAAAGUGCUGCCGGUUCUAUAUUCAGAAUCUAUCCAGGACCUAGCCACUUCUCACCACCUUCUCAGCCACCACCUUGAUCUAAGCCACCACUACCAUCUUCUAUCUGGAUUAUGAGUUGGCUGAGAAGGAGGGUGCCGAAGAAGGGGUUGAAGAAGGUGCUGAAGAAGGAGGACUAACGGUUGUCUGGCUCACUCUGCACUGAAGUAACCAAAGGGCUGGCUUAUUCAGCAGCAAUGCUGGGAGCAUCCUUGGGACUAGAAGAUUGAAAACUGUUACCUCUGUGGUCUCUGAGGCUGGGUUCAGACUAGAGCAAUUGUGCAGUGAAUUUGGCCCAUCUUGGGGACUUUGGCUCUCAAAUGGCAGGGACUGUUCAGACUAAACUAGAGGUUAUUUUACAAGGACCAUCAAAAUUCUCAUUUGCAUGUGUGAAAUUCCUGUGGAGAGGCUGGCUUUUUCAAUCAAGCUGGUUGGGCCAGAUUAUAAGUGGAGUCUGCUAGAGUGCAUGUGAACAGCAUCAGACAGCUCUCAGCCCUUCCCCGUUGGUCUUUCCCUUCUCUGGUGGAAAUCACCAACAGUUUAGUGACACCUAGCACCUUCUAUUCCCCAAGUGGAGAAGUGGUCUUCUAGCUAACAGGAAGACAUCAGGCUUUCUUAAAACAAAUUUUUAUCAGCAGCUACCACCACCACAAUGAUGUUCAUUGAGCACUUAUAUUGUGCUAAGUGUAUUACAUCCGUCAUCUCUUUAGAGCCUCACAAUCCUCUAUGAAGUUUGAUAUUUUUUAUUUAUUUAUUUAUUUAUUUCGAGAUGGAGUCUUGUUCUGUCGCCCAGGCUGGAGUGUGGUAGCACAAUCUCAGCUCACAACAACCUCCGCCUCCUGGGUUCAAGUGAUUCUCAUGCCUCAGCCUCCCAAGUAGCUGGGAUUACAGGCACCUGCCACCACGCCUGGCUAAUUUUUGUAUUUUUAGUAGAGACAGGGUUUCACUGUGUUGGCCAGGCUGGUCUCGAACUCCUGACCUCAAGUGAUCCGCCUGCCUCAGCUUCCCAAAAUGCUGGGAUUACAGGCGUGAGCCACUGUGCCCGGGCGAUAUUUUCAUCGCUUUUUUUUUUUAAAGGAGAAAGCUUAGUCUCCAUUAAGGUUAACUUAUCCCAGGUCACACAGGUUGAAGGAAAUGGAUUUGGAUGCAGAUAGUUUAAAUUGCACACCCAUACUUUUUAAGCCUUUUUACAUGAUGCCAUGUUGCUUCCCUAUUAGUAGGCUGGCCUCCACUGGCAAUUAAUAGCAACAAUGAACACUGGGCUCAAAACCAAAAGCCUGGGCAAUAUGGAGCAAACCAUAAAUUUGAUUAGGAAUCAGUUACCUGUGUCAUUUUUGUCUUAUAAUGGAGUUGUGUGGUUCACAGGAGCCCUACCACUUCUGGAUGGUGUCAUAAUUCUCACAAAAUCUGGACCUUAUGGCAGAAGCCCUGCCCCAUCCCUUUAUUUUCCAUGGUAUCCCUUUAUUUGAUUCCAGCUGCUCUGGGAUUCAGAGCUUUCUCCAUAGAGGCUUGGGAGGGGGAAGAAAGCAACCUAUAAAUAAACUCCGAAUUCAGGCUGUUGGGGACAGUGCCCAUAGCGUUGCAGGUGCACAGUCCAACCCCAACCACUGUUUCCAGUACAACUCUAGGGAUUGUGAAGAAAAUGGGCCAAUUAUUCUUCAGCUUGGACAUUCUUCUGAGGCCAGGACACCCUCGGUCUGGGAGCUGUGUGAUUCAGGUCUCUAAUGUCUUUUUCAGGGAGGGAGGCAGCACAGUAGUUAAAAAUUUCCCAGCUCUCAGUCCCUCCAGAUCAUCUUCCACAUGUGAAGAGGGGGUGUCCUGCACUCAUCACCUGGACAGCAGUCUGGCAACCGCUGGCCAAAGUGGUUUAUAACAUCUGGAUUAUUGUUUCCAGAUGUGGCAUUGAAAUACUUGAUUAAAAGUUUCACACACAGCAUCUUGUAAUAACUGACAUAUGCACAGAGAGUUUCUAUCAUCUGGAGCCAGGGUGGAAGCAGCAGGGACACUCAGAAGAUGAGAGAGAGCAAGGACAGUUUGCAGGAUCUAAGCGGCCUGAGAAAACCGUGAGGCUGAGUUUCUACUGGGUCCUCAUUAAAGUCAAGCAAAUGGAGCUGAGCCUGGUGGAAGUCAAGUAGACUGGACAGAGCAAGGCCUCAGACAGAUGUGCAUUCAAACACCAACUCCACCAAUCACCAGCUGGGAUUUCUGUGAGAUACCUAACCUCCUGCCUCAGAUUUCUCCGUUGUACAAUGGAAAUGGCCAUACCUACCUCAGAGGAGGAUUGUGAAGUGUCUAGCACAUAGCAGGCACUUAAGAAACAGUUGUUUCUCUUUUUUUUAUUAUUAGUCAAGUCUAUAAACACAAUUCACUAUUAUACUCAUUACAAAACUGUUAGCAAAGCACAUAGGACUAGAAGUUCCUUUUUAUUCUUUAUACAGAACAAUAACAUUUUUAAAGGACAAACAAUAGUAGCAGCUGUUUAUAAUGUGCCCCUUUGAGGAAGAGCUGAAACAAUUUUCCACCAAGUACAAAAAGCUCUGCAUUUGUCUUAUAAACAGAUUCAGACCAAUCCUGACCCUCAGACUAAAAUUCUGAAGUCCCUCACAUCUUCUGGAGUGAGACAUCUUGAUGUUGCAGGGAAAAGGGAGCUCAGCUAGAGCUAAUGUUAAGAUUCACAAGAUCUGAGAGUGUGUCAGACAAAGCAAUCCUCAUUUAAUAGGUGUGGGGAGGCUGAAGAAUUGGUCCAAAUGAGUAAACUAAUUUUAUUCAUUCCACAGCAUUUUCUCUUUUAGUUUGAAAGUCAUUGCCAAUAUAAUAAUGGUUAUAAUUAAUGGAGCAUCUGCAAUACUCACGGGUGGUGAUAGGCACUUUACUCACACCAUUCCCGUGUCAUCUUCUCUACAACUUGCCUGUAAAAUAGGCAUUAUUAUCACCCUCAUUUUCCACGUGAGGAAAGUGUAGCUGAGAGUUAAAUAGUUUACCACAAAUCAUGAAGCCACCAGCAGCAGACCUGGAAUUUGAACUUAUCAAUCUAAUUCCAAGGGCGUCUCCCAACAGCCCUGAAACAACUUCACCUUACCAUUUGGUGAGCAGAAAACUAGUGAAAAUUAUUUUUCUGCUCAUCACUUAAAAUCAUCAUGAUAGUUACACCUGUGGCGUCUCUUGUUUAGCAUGUCCACAACUGGGGCUCUGUCCGUUGUACCACGUGGCCUCUAGAACACUUCAGUUUUUUGGUCCUGAUGGCUGAACAGGUGUUCAGUACAAUAGCUCCCUUUUCUCCCCAUCUGCUUCUCCAUGCACGGUGGGGCCCCGAGCCUUCACGGGCGGAUGCUUCCCAUAUGUGCUUGCAGCCCCGGUGAUGAGAAAUGGCAGAAGCAGGUAUUAAAGGUGGAGGUUAUGGCUUGUUACUCUGAAUGUAUUAAAAACCAUUUCCAGACUCCACAUAAAGAGUUUUACACACACAGCACAUAUGAUACAAGGGAGACAGAGAAGCAGACAUGGGGAUAACCACAGUGAGACGUGUAACCACAACAGAAGUCUGGAGAGAUGGGCUCAAGGAAAGCUACUUUCACAGACUGGGUGAUGGAUCGUCUCCUCAGCAGACAGACAGCUAGAGGUACUUAUUUUUAUAAAAAGUUGACAGAAGGAACUCCAGACAUCCCGGCCUGCUGUCUUCUAAUUCUCACGUCCAGAGCUGACUCAGCCCUGUCUGUUUCCCUUUGCAGGAUGAGUGAGCAGCCAACCAUGUGGAUUUGAUGGAUGUCUCCCAGAUAUGUUCUUAUUUGCCAGCCAAAGACGGAGGAGAGGCCUGUCUACUUUAUUCAAGCAAACUUAAACAACCUGCAUGUUGUCAUGAGCUGGAUACCCACACUGCAUUCCUUAGUAGGCUCCCGACGAAUACCAAUUUUCUAGCUAACUGCUUUCCUUGCCUUCCCAUCCUAAGCCCAAACAUCACUUGCUAGAUUUCAGUGAGAUAGAGCAUCUCCGUAAGGAAACUUAGAUAAGCCACGUCUGACAAAAUCCUUAAGGAUUUCCCUUAUUCCUUAUGGAUUAAGAAAUCCUUAACCCAUAAGGAAUAAGGGAACUCCACAAGGAAACUUUUGUAAGAGAUUUCAUGAGAAAUGCCAGGCCUGCCUUUGGGUCAAUGCACACUCACUCCCAUCUCCUACAACCUGUGGCUGCAGUACUCACUACCGGCCAGUUGCAAUCCAAGAUCGGAAUGUUGAGUCUGACAUGCUGCGACGUUUAUAACCAUCCAAGAAGAAAAAUAAAAUAAACCAAAAAACAGCUUUGUGGCCGGGCGCAGUGGCGCAAGCCUGUAAUCCCAGCACUUUGGGAGGCCAAGGUGGGCGGAUCACGAGGUCAGGAGAUUGAGACCAUCCUGGCUAACAUGGUGAAACACCGUCUCUACUAAAAAUACCAAAAAUUAGCCCGGUGUGGUCGCAAGCGCCUGUCGUCCCAGCUACUUGGGAGGCUGAGGCAGGAGAAUGGCGUGAACCUGGGAGGCGGAGCUUGCAGUGAGCCAAGAUUGCACCACUGCACUCCAGCCUGGGUGACAGAGCAAGACUCCGUCUCAAAAAAAAAAAAAAACAAAACAAAACAAACAAAAAAACAGCUUUGUUUAGUACAAAACAUUACUAAAGUAGUAUUGUUGCCAGAAAAAGGUAUCCUGAUCCAGGCCCCAAGAGAGGGUUCUUGAAUCUCACACAGGAAAGAAUUCAAGAUUGAUACAGAUUUGUUUGGUUUUAAUUUUUUAUUUAUUCCUUUUACUGGUUUCGAAGUGAUGAUCCUUUUAUUAUUCUUUUAGCGCUUACCUUCAAAUUUUAAAUGGACAUUAUUGAGGCUUGUCAACGUCUACAAAAGUGUACUGGAAUUUUGAUUGGGAUUAUGUUGAAUCACUGGAUCAAUUUUUGGAGAACUGACAACUCAACAAUAUUGAGUGUGUAGGUUUAUAUAUGUGAUAUAGCUCUCCAUGUAUUUAGAUUUUUAGUUUCCCUCCACAAUCUUUUAUAGUUUUAAUUAAACAAAUUGCACACAUAUUUUAAAAAAUGUAUCCCUAGGUAUUUUAUUUUUGAUGCUAUUGUAAAUGCUAUUGGGCUUUUUAAAAAAUCGUUUCAAUUUUCUGUUGUUUUUGUUAAAUAUAAAAAUGCAAAUAAUUUGUGUUCAUAGACCUUAUAUCUGGAAACGUUGCUAAAUGUAUUUUUUUAUUCCAUUAGCUCUUUUGCUUAUUCCUUACUAUUUUCUUUGUGGGCAGUCAUGUCAUCUACAAAUAAACAGUUUUACUCCUUUUC